rnacentral:snRNA from 1 species
AUCCGGGGGUUCACUGCAUUCACGCCCGCAAACUUUCGCGCCUUUUACUAAAAGAUUUCCGUGCAGAGGACCGCUAUGAUCGGUUAUAACAAUUUAUCAUUGCCUUUGUCUUGGACAGGCA